rnacentral:rRNA from 1 species
UGGGGAAUAUUGGACAAUGGGCGAAAGCCUGAUCCAGCCAUGCCGCGUGUGUGAAGAAGGUCUUCGGAUUGUAAAGCACUUUAAGUUGGGAGGAAGGGCAUUAACCUAAUACGUUAGUGUUUUGACGUUACCGACAGAAUAAGCACCGGCUAACUCUGUGCCAGCAGCCGCGGUAAUACAGAGGGUGCAAGCGUUAAUCGGAAUUACUGGGCGUAAAGCGCGCGUAGGUGGUUUGUUAAGUUGGAUGUGAAAGCCCCAGGCUCAACCUGGGAACUGCAUCCAAAACUGGUAAGCUAGAGUACGAUAGAGGGUGGUGGAAUUUCCUGUGUAGCGGUGAAAUGCGUAGAUAUAGGUAGGAACACCAGUGGCGAAGGCGACCACCUGGACUGAUACUGACACUGAGGUGCGAAAGCGUGGGGAGCAAACA